rnacentral:rRNA from 1 species
GAUGAUGCUGGCGGGUGCUGAGAUAUCGCAGUCAACGGGAUUUAGUGAAGCCGCAAGGCAGAUCUAAAUUCAGUGGCGGACGGCUGAGUAAUAAGUAAGAAUUUUCCCCAAAGACUCACAUAGCUCACCGAAAGGUGGGGUAAUUUGAGAUAGUCCCCUUCGCAAGAAGGGGUAAAGACGCAAGUCGCUUUGGGAUAAGCUUGCUUCCUAUCAGGUAGUUGGUGGGGUAAUAGCCUACCAAGCCUACGACGGGUAGUUGGUCUCAUGAGGAUGAUCAACCAGAGGGGGACUGAGAAAACGGCCCCCACUCCUACGGGAGGCAGCAAUCAGGAAUAGUCGGCAAUGGACGAAAGUCUGACCGCGCGACGCCGCGUGUGGGAUGAAGCUUCACAAGAGUGUGAACCACUGUGGUAGGGGAAGAGAAAGGACGGUACCCUACUAGAAAGUAGCCGCUAACUGCGUGCCAGAAGCGUCGGUAAUACGUGGGCUACAAGCAUUAUCCGGUGUCAUUGGGCGUAAAGGGUCGUGUAGCGGAUUGAUAAGUCACUUUUCAAAUCUUCGGGCUUAACUCGAAAACUGGGAGUGAUACUGUUGGUCUAGAAGUUUCUUUAGGGAGAACGGAACUGUGGGAGGAGUAGUGAAAUGCGUUGAUACCCACGGGAACACCAGUGGCGAAGCGGUUCUCUAGAAGAAUCUUGACGCUGAGACACGAAAGUUAGGGGAGCGAAGCAGAUUAGAGACCUGCGUAGUCCUAACUGUAAACGAAUGUAUGCUGGCUGCAUGAUUUUUCGAGCAAUCGAGAUUUCGUGUGGCGAAGGUAACCCGUUAAGCAAUACCGCCUGGGGAGUACGCCGCAAGGUUGAAACUCAAAGGAAUUGGCGGGGAGGCACACAACCAGAGGAAACAUGUGGUUUAAUUCGAUACGAAACGAAGAACCUUACCAGGGCUUGACAUGCUACCGUUUUAGUCCGCUGGAAACAGUGGAUGAUCCGCAAGGAUGGUAGUGCCGGUGAUGCAUGGCUGUCGUCAGUUCGUUCCGUGAGGAGUGCCUUAAGUGGGACAACGAACGCAACCCCUGUCGUCUGUUACAAGUGUCAGACGAGACCGCCCCCUCUCUUUUCUUCAUAAUUAUUUAUGUUGAGGAGUGAGGGGGAGGAAGCGGGGCAGACGUCAAGUCAGCACGUCCCUUAUGUCCUGGGCUACACACAUGUUACAAUGAGCUUUAACAACGAGUCUUGCGAGCCGGCGACGGCAAGCAAAUCUCUUAAAUGAGCUCUCAGUGGGGAUUGGAGUCUGCAACUCGACUCCAUGAACUUGGAUUUGGUAGUAAUCGCGGGUCAGCUAUACCGCGGUGAAUACGUUCUUGCCUCUUGCACACACCGCCCGUCAAACCAACAAAGUUGGUAUCAUGUGAACUGCGCUUGCCGUGGAGCAUA